rnacentral:rRNA from 1 species
GCUGAGAGGCGAGGGUGCCUCGGAGCAGAACACAGGUGCUGCAUGGGCUGUCGUCAGCUCGUGUCGUGAGAUGUUGGGUUAAGUCCGCUAACGAGCGCAAACCCUCGUCGUAUGUUAUAUGUGUCAUACGAGACUGCCGGCAAAAGCCGGAGGAAGGUGAGGAUGAUGUCAAGUCAGCAUGACCUUUAUAUCCAGGGCUACACACACGCUACAAUGGUCUGUACAAUGGGUAGCCAAGCCGCGAGGCGGAGCCAAUCCUGAAAGCAGGCCUCAGUUCAGAUUGCAGUCUGCAACUCGACUGCAUGAAGCCGGAGUUGCUAGUAACCGCAGGUCAGCAAUACUGCGGUGAAUACGUUCCCGGGUCUU